rnacentral:rRNA from 1 species
UACGUAGGGAGCAAGCGUUAUCCGGAUUUAUUGGGUGUAAAGGGUGCGUAGACGGGAAUUUAAGUUAGUUGUGAAAUCCCUCGGCUUAACUGAGGAACUGCAACUAAAACUGAAUUUCUUGAGUGCGGGAGAGGAAAGUGGAAUUCCUAGUGUAGCGGUGAAAUACGUAGAUAUUAGGAGGAACACCAGUGGCGAAGGCGACUUUCUGGACCGUAACUGACGUUGAGGCACGAAAGUGUGGGGAGCAAACAGG